rnacentral:rRNA from 1 species
GUCGAGAAUCUUUCACAAUGGGGGCAACCCUGAUGGAGCGACGCCGCGUGGAGGAUAAGGUCUUCGGAUUGUAAACUCCUGUCAUGCGUGAACAAGGUUGCUUGGUUAAUACCUGGGCAAAUUGAUGGUAACGCAAGAGGAAGAGACGGCUAACUCUGUGCCAGCAGCCGCGGUAAUACAGAGGUCUCAAGCGUUGUUCGGAAUCACUGGGCGUAAAGGGUGCGUAGGUGGCGUGGUAAGUCAGAUGUGAAAGCCCGGGGCUCAACCUCGGAACUGCAUCGGAUACUGCCAUGCUAGAGUACUGGAGAGGUGACUAAAAUUCUCGGUGUAGCAGUGAAAUGCGUAGAUAUAGAGAGGAAUACCAAAGGCGUAGGCAGGUCACUGGACAGUUACUGACACUGAGGCACGAAGGCCAGGGGAGCGAACGGGAUUAGAAACCCCUGUAGUCC